rnacentral:rRNA from 1 species
CAGUCGCCGCGGUAAUACGAAGGGUGCAAGCGUUAAUCGGAAUUACUGGGCGUAAAGCGUGCGUAGGCGGUUUGUUAAGUCUGUUGUGAAAUCCCCGGGCUCAACCUGGGAAUGGCAAUGGAUACUGGCAAGCUAGAGUGUGUCAGAGGAUGGUGGAAUUCCCGGUGUAGCGGUGAAAUGCGUAGGGAUCGGGAGGAACAUCAGUGGCGAAGGCGGCCAUCUGGGACAACACUGACGCUGAGGCACGAAAGCGUGGGGAGCAAACAGGAUUAGAUACCCCGGUAGUCCCUGUCUCUUAUAA